rnacentral:rRNA from 1 species
AUGGCAUCUAUUCCCUCUGGCGAUGGACAUGAAGUCUCAAUAGAAUACCAAGAUCCCAGGGCGGCCCGGGUGGCGGCGCCCCCUCCCCCGGCAACCCAUCCUCCCUCUCUUUCCCCCCUCCCCGCCGCCGCCAAUAGCCCCCGCCGGGCGAAGCCCGCGCGGAUCUGGCGGCGGCGGGCUGCCAUUUCCCGUGUGGCGCGUUCACGGGCUGGGGGAGCCCCGUGUGGCGGCGACCGGCGUGGCGUGACUCCGGCGCGCAGCGGUUCAUCCGGUGGAGGCUGGGGACGGUGGUGUGGAGGCGCUCGCUGCUCUCUCCCGGUGGCCUGCUCCGAAUCGACGGCGUCCCCCUGUCGGUGGGCGUCGGGGUGA